rnacentral:rRNA from 1 species
AGAGUUUGAUCCUGGCUCAGAAUUAACGCUGGCAGCGUGCAUAACACAUGCAAGUCGAGCGGAAUACUUGUUAUAGCAAUAUAGUAAGUGUUUAGCGGCAAACGAGUGAGUAACACGUAAGAAAUCUCCCCCAAAGAAAGGAAUAAUUUGCCGAAAGGCAGACUAAUACCUUAUAUAAUCCUCUGGCGGCAUCGCCUAGG